rnacentral:rRNA from 1 species
AGUGGCGGACGGGUGAGUAACGCGUGAGUAACCUGCCUUUCAGAGGGGGAUAACGUUCUGAAAAGAACGCUAAUACCGCAUAAGAUUGUAGCUUCGCAUGGAGCAGCAAUCAAAGGAGCAAUCCGCUGAAAGAUGGACUCGCGUCCGAUUAGAUAGUUGGCGGGGUAACGGCCCACCAAGUCGACGAUCGGUAGCCGGACUGAGAGGUUGAUCGGCCACAUUGGGACUGAGACACGGCCCAGACUCCUACGGGAGGCAGCAGUGGGGAAUAUUGCGCAAUGGGGGCAACCCUGACGCAGCAACGCCGCGUGCAGGAAGAAGGUCUUCGGAUUGUAAACUGUUGUCGCAAGGGAAGAAGACAGUGACGGUACCUUGUGAGAAAGUCACGGCUAACUACGUGCCAGCAGCCGCGGUAAUACGUAGGUGACAAGCGUUGUCCGGAUUUACUGGGUGUAAAGGGCGCGUAGGCGGACUGUCAAGUCAGUCGUGAAAUACCGGGGCUUAACCCCGGGGCUGCGAUUGAAACUGACAGCCUUGAGUAUCGGAGAGGAAAGCGGAAUUCCUAGUGUAGCGGUGAAAUGCGUAGAUAUUAGGAGGAACACCAGUGGCGAAGGCGGCUUUCUGGACGACAACUGACGCUGAGGCGCGAAAGUGUGGGGAGCAAACAGGAUUAGAUACCCUGGUAGUCCACACCGUAAACGAUGGAUACUAGGUGUAGGAGGUAUCGACCCCUUCUGUGCCGCAGUUAACACAAUAAGUAUCCCACCUGGGGAGUACGACCGCAAGGUUGAAACUCAAAGGAAUUGACGGGGGCCCGCACAAGCAGUGGAGUAUGUGGUUUAAUUCGAAGCAACGCGAAGAACCUUACCUGGGCUUGACAUCCCUGGAAUCGAGUAGAGAUACUUGAGUGCCUUCGGGAAUCAGGUGACAGGUGGUGCAUGGUUGUCGUCAGCUCGUGUCGUGAGAUGUUGGGUUAAGUCCCGCAACGAGCGCAACCCCUAUUGUCAGUUGCCAUCAUUAAGUUGGGCACUCUGGGGAGACUGCCAGGGAUAACCUGGAGGAAGGCGGGGAUGACGUCAAAUCAUCAUGCCCCUUAUGAUUUGGGCUACACACGUGCUACAAUGGCGUAAACAAAGGGAAGCGAGAUCGUGAGAUGGAGCAAAUCCCAAAAAUAACGUCCCAGUUCGGACUGUAGUCUGCAACCCGACUACACGAAGCUGGAAUCGCUAGUAAUCGCGGAUCAGAAUGCCGCGGUGAAUACGUUCCCGGGUCUUGCACACACCGCCCGUCA